rnacentral:rRNA from 1 species
GAUGAACGCUGGCGGCGUGCCUAAUACAUGCAAGUCGAGCGAACAGAUAAGGAGCUUGCUCCUUUGACGUUAGCGGCGGACGGGUGAGUAACACGUGGGUAACCUACCUAUAAGACUGGAAUAACUCCGGGAAACCGGGGCUAAUGCCGGAUAACAUUUAGAACCGCAUGGUUCUAAAGUGAAAGAUGGUUUUGCUAUCACUUAUAGAUGGACCCGCGCCGUAUUAGCUAGUUAGUAAGGUAACGGCUUACCAAGGCAACGAGUCGUAGCCGGCCUGAGAGGAUGAUGAGCCACACUGGAACUGAGACGCGGUCCAUGAUCAUACGGGAGCCAGCAGUAGGGAAUCUACCGCAAUGGGCGAAAGCCGGACGGAGCAACGCCGCGUGAGUGAUGAAGGUCUUCGGAUCGUAAAACGCUGUUAUUAGGGAAGAACAAAUGUGUAAGUAACUGUGCACGUCUUGACGGUACCUAAUCAGAAAGCCACGGCUAACUACGUG